AGACGUAAAAAAAUCCGAAAGUAACCUAUGGAAGGGAAAGUACGAAGAAGAGUUGUGUACUUGUGUUCCAAAAUACCAAAGACAUCAAGAAAAAACCAAAAAAGGGCGGCGGUAUUCACGUGGUUUCAAAGCUAACCUCUCCGGCAUUGCUGCAGCUGAACGAGGCUUCUACCUCCAUAUCUCUCAUCUUUCUCUCUCAGUUCCACGGCGCCUUUGAGUUCUCACCUGGCUGUUUCUCUUUCAAACCGUUUGACCGGCGCUAGAUGGAAAUCUGAUCCCCAUCUGAGAAGAAGAAGAAGGCCACUGUUGACAGGUGGGUAACUAUGCUGACAACAACAGGAAACACAUAGAAGAAAAAGACCUUCCAUCCAGCGUUCGGGUUGAAUCAGAACACCGGGCGUUGGAUUUGUAUAGGUGAUUUCGUUACUUCAAAUCACGGAGAGGUAUCACCUUUCAAUGACAAAGGACAAGACUCAAGGUUAUUCAUUACGAUCUUUGCACUAUUCAAGAUUAUCAAGCAUCUAUUGGACAUCUGUUGAGUUGGCCCUGGGUCUACAACCUAAUGAAGGGGAUACAGUGUUCAUGCAAGCCAUAUUCAUGUUAGACUGGCCUGUUUAACUGGUGAAAUUCACUUCCACCAGUCAGUGUCAUCUUCAGAAUGUUGAGGUUGCUACAAGCAUUUGGGUUGGUUUACAUCUACCAGAAAAGGUAUUAGCUCCAUUUGGGAAUCAGUACUUGGAAUAUGCACUUCCUGAUGAAAGUGCUCACAUCGAAAAGCAUCUGUGUGUGACGAUAUUUGACAUCAAUUAAUUACUAUGGUGACAAGAUGUCCACUUCUGGUUAUUUGGAGCAGGUGCUGCCUGCUAUUUUAGAUGGUCUUUACCUUUGCUCUUACCUGCUUUAGAGGACUGUUCCUUUAAUGAUAAUUGACAGAUUCAUCUAAGAUCUAAGGAAUCAUUGGGCGAUCUCUCAUUUAGGUGAUGAUGAAGGUGCCAGUACUGAAUCACAUGUUCACAUUGGCAGGAUAUCAUUGAAAUCUUGGAAUGGAUAAGUGUCAUGGAGUUCUUACUUUGAUAUACUUGGUUCAAACUGAUGCCAGCCUAUCAGGUUGGCAGGUAAUGGGUAUUUCCACUAAUCUGUACUCUAAAUACCUCUUUCGCCUCUCAAAGGCAGCAGCUUCAAGCAUUGAUUGAGCUUGCUAGGAAACUCUGUGAAAGAGUGCUUCCUUUGAUCAUCCCAUUUGGGAUGAAGAACUCUUGCAACAUUUAUCCUCUGAAGGUAGCAGGUUUCUGGGCGAGCACUGAUUGAGCUCGUUGGGGAACUUGUUGAAAGAGUGCUUCCAUUAUCUUCCCAAUUGGGAUGAAGUACUCUGAUACCAGCAGAAGUUGAGUUUGGAGUAACUUAUGACCUUAAUAAUAAAAAUUCAACCUGUUUGACAAUGAUACUAAUGCAUUCCAACUUUCUUGUGACUGACAGUUGUAUGCAUUUGUCUUAGUGAAGUAAUGUUAAGUGCUGCUAAAGUCAUCUUUCAUGGAUGAGCUCAUCCAGAUCAUUCAAACUGCUCUUUCUUUUUUAUGUGUUUCUGAUUUUCCAUGUCUUUUUCUUGACCCUUUUUACUAUUUAUAGAAUCUUCACCUUAUUUUUCUUUACAGCUACUGAGGUUCGCGAGUCUGUGCAUAGCCUUCAGCAUUCUCUACAAGGAUUUUUCAACUUUUGGAGGCUGCAGCGGAUAUUGUGGUCUUAGUCAUGUAAAAUGAAGAAGUUUUCUAUUAUGAAAAUGGACUUCUUGAAGCUGUCAGCAAUAGUCAGAUUUUGACACAAUGCGGGCAUAGACCAAAGUUAAUAAGGAAGUUUCUCGGAUGAUCCAGCUGGUUAAUGCGACAAGCAUUUAUUGAUACCCUAAACCGGAUUAGUUUUGGUAUAAAUUUGUAUCCACUAAUUGACUUGCCAUUAUUAUUUUUAAAAAUAGUUGAAGCAUCUGGAGUUUUCUUUAGUUGGAAUCAUGAUAAUCAGUUUUCUUUCUUUAA